UGCACAAUUGGGGUUAAAACGAGGGUCAAUCCACCCCACUCUCCAAACGCCUCUCCUCUUGCUGCCAAACCCAGGAUCCGAGGCUGAGUGCGGUUUGUAAGAUUAUAGCGCUCGGUCUCAUUUAAAGGGCUGUCAGCAUUUCCAUUCUCCGGCCCGUUUGGGGAGGCAUUUAUAACCAAGCCAUAAAAAAUUCACCCCGGCUGCAACUUGGCAUCUGGGAGGCUGCGCUCCAGGCAGGGCGGGUUUUGCAAGCACCCACUCUCAAUUCGCUUGGUUCCUCAGAAGUUAGACCUUUAUACACAUUCUCAACUUCGCUUCUAAGGGCAGCCGGAAAGUGACUGGCCCUUUCUGAUCUUCAGGCAGGUCGGAGUCUCGGCCCUCUCCCGUCUCCGUGCCCUUACGACCCAUCACCUUUCGGGCUUUCUCCUUCGCCCACCUCCUAAACGUGCGCGGAUCCCUUGCCCUCGUCCUAAGACCUCACUGGCUGCAGUGUUCUUUCCUCCCCUCGCUUCCUGCCAGCGUUCUGCUGGAAGCUGUCACCCGGCCCUGCGUCUGGAACCUUCACCCCUGGAGAAGCACUGCUCUUUGCCCAUCGCAGUGGGCUUCAAGACCUCUCUCCCUAGACCUGACCAAGGCCACAGACCCCAACUCAGGGGAUAAAGGAUCCGACCCGGGAGAGGUGACAAGAGACUGCAUCCAGUGUGGCCAAGGGGAGAGGAAAGAUCUGGUGCCUGGGGGCCCCACUAUGGACCCAGGAGGAGUCAAGAUGGCGGAGAAGUAGCAGGCUGAGAUGACAUCAGGUAGCAAGAGAUCAGCUAGAUAUUCUAUCAAACCGUUCUGAACACUGGCAAAUCCAACAGGAGAUCAAAGAGAAGAAGAUCAGCAAUUCUAGAAACAGAAAAUCCACCACUUUCUGAAAGGUAGGACAGGUGGAGAAGUGAAUCCAAAGCAAUGGGGAAGAUAGACUGCGGGGGGGUGGGGAUGGGGCUGGCUCCUGGCAAGUGGAUUUAAAUUAUACCUCAAUAAAGCUGCUAAAAAGUUAAUUGUUUAAAGUAAAAUGACAACAGUUUACCCCUGAGUUUAUAAUAUAUGCAAAAGUAGAGGAUAUGAAAAUAAUAGCACAAAGGAAAGGAGAAGGUAAUGGGAGUAUACUGUGUAAGGUUAUUAUAGUAUAGGAAAAGUGGUAUAAUAUUAUUAGAGAGUAGAAGAUAAACUAUGAAAAUUUAAAAUAUGUGUUAUAAACAAUAUUUUAAAGAAAUCAUAAAAAAAGACAUAUAACUAAAUGCCAGUAGAAGAAAUAAAAUGAAGUGAUAAAAAUUUCUCACUAAAAUAAGAAAAUAGGAAAAAAGGCAAGAAAGAGCAGAUAGAACAAUAUUAAACAAAUAGCAAGAUGGUAGACUCAAACCCGUAUGGCCAUAAUAACGUUAGAUAUAAAUGGUUUAAACAAUCCAAUUUAAAGCCAGAGAUUUGGGGCACCUGGGUGGCUUAGUUUAUUAAAUGUCUGCCUUCAGCUUGGG
rnacentral:lncRNA from 1 species